AAUAUAGUGCCUGAUUAAAGGAUUAUCGUGAUAGGAUAAAUCAAGUAAGAAAUUACCUUUAUUA
rnacentral:tRNA from 1 species